UUUUGUGGUGAAUGGGUUGUUGUGGCGAGCGGGCUUGCCACAAAAGCCCGCUCGCCACAACAACCCAUUCACCAGCGAC
rnacentral:misc_RNA from 1 species